GAGCCGAUGACCAAGAAAGAAUUCUUGAGACACCUUUGGUGCAAAAUGGUGGUUUAUUAAAGCACAGAGACAGGACCCGUGGGCAGGAAGAGUAGCUGCCCCGGUUGUGAGAGAUGGCAGGGGUACACUGAAAAAAACAUUUGCUAAACCCAACACAGCCUGGGACACUCCGAGGACCAUGGCCAAGGUAUCUAAGAUGGAGACAACGUUGGAAACAGCCACGUGGAGCCGGGGUUGGUGGAAGGAGAAUGCCUUGUUCAAUUCUUGGUAGCCUAUCGUCAUCUGCCAUGAGCCAUCUGGCUUUUUUAUUGGCUAUACCAGACUGCUGAAAGCACU
rnacentral:lncRNA from 1 species